GGGUAUUCACUCUCACCCAGAGCACAGCAACCUGACACACAGAUACAGACAGACAGGGUUGGGUAGAUAUACUGAAGGAAGGCACGGUGAACAUUUAUUAAUAUCAGGUCGAUAUUGAAAUGAAAAGCCUAGACCAGGUUAAAUAAAAAAUAAAAAACAACCUGGACUCAGAGCAAAAUGUAUUAUAUGAAUCCUACAGACGAAGAACCGUAUAUGUGACAUUUUUCAAAAAAACGAGAUAUACAUGAAAAAUCAUUAUUGGACACCCUUUUUCUAUAGUGAACCGGUUUCACAAGCUUUCCACGCGCUAAUUAACAAUAUGUUUAAAUUUAAAGAUAGGCUCUCGUGGAAUAACCGUUUAUGUGCACCACUCAGAAUGGACGGACAAGCGCACAACUUUUCUGUUGCUGAUGAAAAUCACCGAAAUGUGGGAAAGAAACGUAAAACAAAACUAAAAGAAUGGAAAGACAGGCAAAGGAAGAUCUUACGGGAUGCGGGAAAACCCUAUACAAAUCGUAAGGGUCAAGAAAAAAAUGGGAAAAGCUGUCCAAAAGAGGGAAGAGCGUGUUCCACGACGUGCAGAAAGGAUUGUGGAAAGUUGAUUGAUGAGCGCAAGCUGCAUCUGUUCAACAGUUUCUACACUGUCCCAUACGAGAAACAACCAGCAAAACCAUUCAAGGUGAUGAGGAUGCAAUGUGAAGACUUCAGUCACCUCCCAGAUUCUGUUCUCAAGCGACCAGCUGGACUACAGAUCACUUCAGUGAGGUGGUUAAAAGUCACAUGUAUUGCACAGAGAAUAGUUUACUAACAUCCCAUCAACAUGCAACAUGUUGUUCUAACAAUAAAAUAUCCUAAUGAUU